rnacentral:lncRNA from 1 species
GUUUAAUGUAUCAGAUAUAAAGAAAAAAUUUUAAUUUACACAAUGGUAGAUCAUUUAAGAAGAGAUUCUAAAAAAGGAGAGAGCUAGUGGAAGCUAUCUUGUCAGCCAGCUGAAGCAGAUCAGGGUGUCCAGGGUUUAAAGUGGGGCCCCUGCCUACCUUCAAGUCAGAAUCAGUGCAGGUCCAGCCUGGCAUCACCACACCAAUUCCACCCUGCUCACCAGCUGUGGGCAUGGCCUGAUUGCUCAGAAUGGGCUCAUCAUUUACUUUGAAUUAUGGUAUUUUAUCAUGUGAUUAUUUUAUCACAGCAUCUGAACUGUGAAAAGAAUGAACAUUUAGUAUGGGUUCAUGUUAAGUUUAGAGACUUGUGGAGAUUAAAUGCUUUUCAGGCAGUAAAUAAGGGCAUUAGUGAUACUAACUGGUGACCCCUCAAUUGUCAAAAGAAAAACCAUGCCACCUGCAGUUAUUUAAAUGUUAACUUUUUUACCUUUAUUGUUUAUAGUCGGUAUAGACUGAGAGGUUGAGCAUAUUUGUGGUUAGACUGUCUUGGUUUUUUUUUUUUCUUCCCUUU